rnacentral:rRNA from 1 species
UGCAGUCGUACGAGAGUUUUUACUCUAGUGGCGGACGGGUGAGUAACACGUGAGAAUUUACCUUUAGGAGGGGGAUAACAGCGUAUCAAUAGAUAUUACGGAAACGGCUGCUAAUACCCCAUAUGCUUUUGAGUGAAAUAGAUUUAUCUGCCUAAAGAGAAGCUCGCGGCUGAUUAGCUUGUUGGUAAGGUAAUGGCUUACCAAGGCGACGAUCAGUAUCUGGUUUGAGAGGACGAUCAGACACACUGGAACUGAGACACGGUCCAGACUCCUACGGGAGGCAGCAGUGGGGAAUUUUCCGCAAUGGGCGAAAGCCUGACGGAGCAAUACCGCGUGAGGGAAGACGGCCUAUGGGUUGUAAACCUCUUUUUUCAGGGAGGAAUUCAAUGACGUGUACCUGAGGAAUAAGCAUCGGCUAACUCCGUGCCAGCAGCCGCGGUAAUACG